CCGUGAUAACGUAGCAUAAUCAUUCGCCACCUAAUUAGUGGAUAGUAUGAACGGUAAAACGAGUAUAACACUCUCUCAGAAGGAAGUUUUAUGAAAUUGGAGUGGUAGUCAAGAUACUACCUAAAACUGUAAGACGAAAAGACCCUAUAGAGCUUAACUAUACCUUUCUCACAAAAUUAAGUUCACUUAAGUUCCAGAAAGAUUGGUAGUUUAGUUGGGGCGACUGCUUUCUAGUAAAAACGAAAGCAAGCAAUAUUAAUUAUCUAAUUUACUGUCUAAUCCAUAUGUUUAACAGUUAUAAAAAUAGGCAAUAAUGACCCGUUAGUAAUAAAAAACACUACUAACGAACAAUAAAUAAAAGCUACCUUAGGGAUAACAGGAUAAUCUUGUUCUAGAGACCCUAUCGAAAACAAGGUUUGUCACCUCUAUGUUGAAUUAAGAUAUCCUAGAAGUGUAGAAGCUUCUGAGG
rnacentral:rRNA from 1 species